CCUCCUCCCUUCCCGACCCAAUUCUCCUCAAUCAAAGAAAGUCCCCACGCAGAGCAAGCCAAGAUCUGCGCCGCGGCGAAGCAAAUCAAAGCAAAGCAAAGCAAAGCACCGGCUGGCUCCCAUGGCCGUGGACCUGAUGGGGUGCUACGCCCCGCGCCGCGCCAACGACCAGCUCGCCAUCCAGGAGGCGGCGGCGGCGGGGCUCCGCAGCCUGGAGCUCCUCGUGUCGUCGCUGUCCACGCAGGCCGCCGCGCCGCACAGGGCCGCGGCUCACCAGCUGCAGAAGCCGCCUUCGCAGCCGCCGAUCGGCGAGAUCGCCGACCAGGCCGUCUCCAGGUUCCGCAAGGUCAUCUCCAUCCUGGACCGCACCGGCCACGCCCGCUUCCGGCGCGGGCCCGUGGUCGAGGCGCCGCCACCGGUGCCUCCUCCGGCCGUCUCCGCUCCCGCUCUCCCCGUGGCGCACGUGGUGGCUCCCGUCGGCGCGGCGCAGCCCCAGAGCCUGACCCUGGACUUCACGAAGCCGAACCUGGCCGUGUCGGGCGGCGCCACGUCCGUCACCUCCACGUCCUUCUUCUCCUCGGUCACGGCCGGCGAGGGCAGCGUGUCCAAGGGCCGCAGCCUGGUGUCCUCCGGCAAGCCGCCGCUGUCCGGCCACAAGCGGAAGCCCUGCGCCGGCGCGCACUCCGAGGCCACCACCAACGGCAGCCGCUGCCACUGCUCCAAGAGAAGGAAAAACCGCGUGAAGAGGACCAUCAGAGUGCCGGCGAUCAGCGCCAAGAUCGCGGACAUCCCGCCGGACGAGUACUCGUGGAGGAAGUACGGCCAGAAGCCCAUCAAGGGCUCCCCCUACCCACGGUAAGUCGUCUGUAAAAUCCAAUCUCCUCCUACGGACCUGUCGGCAUCGCUCGCCCGCUCGGCGCUCGGCUCUUCUUUACCGUCGUCUCCGACUAUCCGCGCCGACGAAUCUGACUCUUCUCUCGCCGCCAUCUGGUUUCCAAUCCAGGGGCUACUACAAGUGCAGCACCGUGCGCGGGUGCCCGGCGAGGAAGCACGUGGAGCGCGCCACCGACGACCCGGCCAUGCUGGUGGUGACGUACGAGGGCGAGCACCGCCACACGCCGGGCGCGCCCGCGCCCGCGCCCAGCCCCCUGGCGGCCGCGUCGCCGGUGCCCGCCUCCGCCGCCGCCGCCGUCUCCGCCGGCAACAACGGGCUUGUCUAGUCUAGAGCCUAGGAUUAGCUUCUUCGUUCUUCAUUUUGAGCUGAUCCCCACCGCUCGAUCUGACGCCCGUGUAAAAAAAAAAACAAACGAACAAGGUUGUUGUAGAAAGAAGAGGGAGAGGACACCUUCGACGAAACGACUUGGUUCUCUCGUAACCCCCCGAUCGGUGCUGGAUCCGUUUCUGUGGUUCUUUUUUUUUUCUGGCUCAGGAAAAUAGUAGUAGCGCUCGAAAUCAGACGGGGAUCGUGUCUGCUGACCAUCCAGAUCUGUCGCGGCUGUGGCAGUAAUAAACGAGUAGUAGUAGAAAUCGUAUCCUCGGGCGUGGUUAGGAAAGCAGUUUCGACGACGGACGGACGGACCAU
rnacentral:misc_RNA from 1 species